UCUUCUUCUACUUCUCCUCUCCUUCUAUUUUUCCUCUUCUUCUCCUCUCCUCCUCUUCUUAUUCUCCUUUUUCUUCUUUUCUUCUGCUCCUCUUCUUAUUUUCCUUUUUCCUAAUCUUAUUUUCUUAUUUUUGUUCAACUUUCUUCUUCUUGUAACCGUAACCUAAUUCUAAAUAUUACUAACCCUAAUAAUCUAGCACAAACCUAAUAACAAUAGGGAUUAAAUGAAA
rnacentral:lncRNA from 1 species